UAUAUUAAAUGCAUUAAAAAAAGGCCUCUUGCACUUUUGAUGAUUAAAGCAAAAUUGUUGGUAAAUAGAACGAUGUUCGUAAGAACUAAGUAAACUGGUGACGCUGCGGCUUACUGGAAAUAUUUUUCCGUUUUUCCUUUACGCUUUUUCCGGUUUUUUUUUAAUUAUUUUAAAAAUUCAUUGUAAAUUUAAAAAAAUGACCUUUUUUAAUGCAUCAACUAGAUCCAAAAUUCUACAAAAAAAAUCUCUUGUAAUUUUUCGGUUGGAGCAAGUUUUCUAUUUCAAUCACACAUCCGAGUAGUAAAAAGUAAAACCAAUGGGACUCAUCACGCUCCGAAUUCAAAACACCCUCCUUCAACAACCGCUUAUUUAUUUGUAUUGAAAUUCAACCCAAUUUGUAGCACUGCAAUUCAUCUCUAUAACAAUUAUAAUUUCCGACUAUGAGCUCAUUUGGUUCAGAGGGGAGCCAUAAUAUUUCUAAGGAAAUUCAACAAAAAUGAAAAUAUUAUUAUUAGUUAACAAGAACUCGAGAAAAAAUAAAUACGUAUUUUACGCCCUUAUACAUACAUUGAUUUUGAAACUUUCCGUACCUAGUAUAAACUAUAAAAUUUACGAUUUAAGUCAAAUAAAAUUGCUCGCACUUAUAACCAUCAUUCAAUACUAUACUAACUUCUACAUAAUUAUAUGAUUAUGAUUAUAGUACCUAUUUAUAAAAAAUAAACGGGUAUACUUAAAUGUUCGUAAUAAUAUCGUUAUGACGAAAAAUCCUUAAAAAUUAAAUUAUAGCAAAAUUUAAAAAUUAACCGUAGUGAAGAUUAAAAGAGCAAUUUCGUCUUUAUUGACAAAUUGUCUAAUGUAAACACAAUAUGUCCGUUUUGCAUUUAGUGGCUCAACUAUAUAGUACUUUGUGAACGAUAUACUGUAAUAUAAAUGCAAAGUAUAAAAAAAAAAAAGACGGACAUGCUUCACACGAGGGUUCAGCCACUGUUGUGGGAAGCUGGGAAGCUAAUUAAUAAUGGGUAAUUUAAUGUGAAUCUGUAAGCAACGAUGAACCAUUGCUAACGAAAAAACCGAUUCUGAACGGAAUUCAGUUGAUAGUGAUGCUUGGUUAACAAUAUAUAUUUCAUAUUGUGAUAAAAUAAUUAAACAGGGGUUAUAUAUUUUCUUUAACAAUAUUUGUUAAUUGUUGUACCGAUUUUUCCUACGUUUUUCCGGGUUUUCCCAGUUUCUAGUUUCCCAGUUUUUUCCCCAUUUGUUGAGAAAACUCCUGAGAAAAAUCGGAAAAUUACGUCUUCAAGUGCCUUCCCAGUCAGAUAUAUACCAUAAAAAUUAUUUUAAGUGAAAACAAUAAUAAUAAACGAUUAGAAAAAAAAAAAAAAUCCAACAAACUAUUUCGUGCCCGACGCGAAUUGAUCGGAACGUAACGCGCGGCUAGGCGGACGACGCCGCGAUCGCUGUUCUGUAUACGCCACACAAUCGUUAUCGUGUUUAACAAUAACGCGAGCGCCGACUCGCGACCGUGCGAACCGCGGCCGUGUCCCGGG